UUUUACAAUUUAACGAUAAAUCAAGGCAAGACAAACAAUACAUGCAUUAAGGAAAUACAACUGAAUUAUUUUACUAAUUCCAGUAUGUUAUCAUGCAUUUAAAGCUGUAAAAUCAAACAAUCGGUUAAACAGAAUAAACAAUAAUAAGUAAUUGGUUCUGCCUCCAUUAGUAACCUGUAAUUAAUUCUUGAAGUUUCCUAAAUUAUGCAAAAAC
rnacentral:lncRNA from 1 species